rnacentral:rRNA from 1 species
GACAGAGGGGGCAAGCGUUGUUCGGAUUUACUGGGCGUAAAGGGCGCGUAGGCGGUCAGCACAAGUCAGUUGUGAAAUCUCCGGGCUUAACUCGGAAAGGUCAACUGAUACUGUGCGACUAGAGUGCAGAAGGGGCAACUGGAAUUCUCGGUGUAGCGGUGAAAUGCGUAGAUAUCGAGAGGAACACCUGCGGCGAAGGCGGGUUGCUGGGCUGACACUGACGCUGAUGCGCGAAAGCCAGGGGAGCGAACGGG